rnacentral:rRNA from 1 species
AGGGUUUGAUUAUGGCUCAGAACGAACGCUGGCGGCAGGCCUAACACAUGCAAGUCGAGCGAAGCCUUCGGGUUUAGCGGCGGACGGGUGAGUAACGCGUGGGAAUAUGCCCUUUGGUACGGAACAGUCCCGGGAAACUGGGUUUAAUACCGUAUGUGGUCCUUCGUAGUGGAUACGGGGGACGAAAGAUUUAUCGCCAAAGGAUUAGCCCGCGUUGGAUUAGGUAGUUGGUGGGGUAAUGGCCUACCAAGCCGACGAUCCAUAGCUGGUUUGAGAGGAUGAUCAGCCACACUGGGACUGAGACACGGCCCAGACUCCUACGGGAGGCAGCAGUGGGGAAUCUUAGACAAUGGGGGCAACCCUGAUCUAGCCAUGCCGCGUGAGUGAUGAAGGCCUUAGGGUUGUAAAGCUCUUUCAGCUGGGAAGAUAAUGACGGUACCAGCAGAAGAAGCCCCGGCUAACUCCGUGCCAGCCGCCGCGGUAAUAC